UAUCACAAUUUCAAAUCUACACAGGAAGUUCUUUGACAGAGAGCAGAAUAGAGUAAAUAUUUGGGAGAGUGUUUCCCUAAAUAUUUUACUAUGUGCAGCUUAUUUCAUCUUGGAAGUUAACAGUAAUUAACAGAAUGCACCAGGUAUAGCAUCAUAUGUGUAUAUAAAGUAUCAGCAUACAUGAAUGAAUUGAGACAUGUUUAGUGACCCAAUGUGUUGUGUUCAAAGGCUCCAUCCAACAGUUCGAAGACAUGUCAUAGCAGUGAAGCAAAUGGUGGCAAAUGAUGGCUUUGUGGUGGUUAGUGAAAAACUGUGGCAAUCUACAUUGGUGGUGGCAAACACUGACAGAAAAUUUCUGGACCAGCAGUGACAUUAAGUUGAAAAUAAUGACAUAUUUUACACUGUACUGAAGAUGUAAUUGCGAAAAUUAUUUAAGAAAUAAUAUAUCUCAUUUAGUGAAUUGUCGAUGAAUAAAUCAUUGUUUGGAGUUCAGAUGCGAAGGAAUU
rnacentral:lncRNA from 1 species